rnacentral:rRNA from 1 species
UACGUAGGGGGCUAGCGUUGUCCGGAUUUAUUGGGCGUAAAGAGCGUGUAGGCGGCCUGGUAGGUCUGCUGUGAAAACUCGAGGCUCAACCUCGAGAUGUCGGCGGAAACCAUCUGGCUAGAGUCCGGAAGAGGGGAGUGGAAUUCCUGGUGUAGCGGUGAAAUGCGCAGAUAUCAGGAAGAACACCUAUGGCGAAGGCAGCUCUCUGGGACGGUACUGACGCUGAGACGCGAAAGCGUGGGGAGCGAACAGG